rnacentral:rRNA from 1 species
AGUUCGGAUCAUGGCUCAGAUUGAACGCUGGCGGGAUGCUUUACACAUGCAAGUCGAACGGCAGCACGGACUUCGGUCUGGUGGCGAGUGGCGAACGGGUGAGUAAUGUAUCGGAACGUGCCUAGUAGCGGGGGAUAACUACGCGAGGCGUAGCUAUCGCCACCGCAUACGCCCUUCGGGGGAAAGCGGGGACCUUCGGGCCUCGCACUAUUAGAGCGCCGAUAUCGGAUUAGCCAGCUGGUGGGGUAACGGCUCACCAAGGCGACGAUCCGUAGCUGGUUUGAGAGGACGACCAGCCACACUGGGACUGAGACACGGCCCAGACUCCUACGGGAGGCAGCAGUGGGGAAUUUGGACAAUGGGGAAACCCUGGAUCCAGCCAUCCCGCGUGCGAUGAAGGCCUUCGGGUUGUAAAGCACUUUUGGCAGGAAACGGCACGGGAUAAUACCCCGUGCAACUGACGGUACCUGCAGAAUAAGCAUUCUGCUAACUACGUGCCAGCAGCCGCGGUAAUACGUAGGUGUAAGCGUUAAUCGGAAUUACUGGGCGUAAAGCGCAGGCGGUUCGGAAAGAAAGAUGUGAACCAGAGCUUAACUUUGGAACUGCAUUUUUAACUACCGAGCUAGAGUGUGUCAGGAGUGAGGUGGAAUUCCGCGUGUAGCAGUGAAAUGCGUAGAUAUGCGAGGAACACCGAUGGCGAAGGCAGCCUCCUGGGAUAACACUGACGCUCAUGCACGAAAGCGUGGGGAGCAAACAGAUUAGAUACCUCCUGGUAGUCCACGCCCUAAACGAUGUCAAACGCUAGCCGUUGGGGCUCUUUCGGGCCUUGGUAGCGCAGCUAACGCGUGAAGUUGACCGCCUGGGGAGUACGGUCGCAAGAUUAAAACUCAAAGGAAUUGACGGGGACCCGCACAAGCGGUGGAUGAUGUGGAUUAAUUGAUGCAACGCGAAAACCUUACCUACCCUUGACAUGUCUGAAUCCCGAAGAGAUUUGGGAGUGCUCGCAAGAGAACCGGAACACAGGUGCUGCAUGGCUGUCGUCAGCUCGUGUCGUGAGAUGUUGGGUUAAGUCCCGCAACGAGCGCAACCCUUGUCAUUAGUUGCUACGAAAGGGCACUCUAAUGAGACUGCCGGUGACAAACUGAGGAAGGUGGGGAUGACGUCAAGUCUCAUGGCCCUUAUGGUAGUCACACGUCAUACAAUGGUCGGGACAGAGGGUCGCCAACCCGCGAGGGGGAGCCAAUCCCAGAAACCCGAUCGUAGUCCGGAUCGCAGUCUGCAACUCGACUGCGUGAAGUCGGAAUCGCUAGUAAUCGCGGAUCAGCAUGUCGCGGUGAAUACGUUCCCGGGUCUUGUACACACCGCCCGUCACACCAUGGGAGUGGGUUUUGAAUAUAGCAGUUAGCCUAACCGUAAGGAGGGCGAUUACCACGGUAGGAUUCAUGACUGGGGCAGAAGUCGUAACAAGGUAG